GGGAACUGAAACAUCUAAGUACCCCGAGGAAAAGAAAUCAACCGAGAUUCCCCCAGUAGCGGCGAGCGAACGGGGAGGAGCCCAGAGCCUGAAUCAGCAUGUGUGUUAGUGGAAGCGUCUGGAAAGGUGCGCGAUACAGGGUGACAGCCCCGUACACAAAAGCGCAUGUGCUGUGAGCUCGAUGAGUAGGGCGGGACACGUGGUAUCCUGUCUGAAUAUGGGGGGACCAUCCUCCAAGGCUAAAUACUCCUGACUGACCGAUAGUGAACCAGUACCGUGAGGGAAAGGCGAAAAGAACCCCGGCGAGGGGAGUGAAAAAGAACCUGAAACCGUGUACGUACAAGCAGUGGGAGC
rnacentral:rRNA from 1 species